rnacentral:rRNA from 1 species
UUCCAGACUCCUACGGGAGGCAGCAGUGGGGAAUAUUGGGCAAUGGGCGCAAGCCUGACCCAGCAACGCCGCGUGAAGGAAGAAGGCUUUCGGGUUGUAAACUUCUUUUAAGAGGGAAGAGAAGAAGACGGUACCUCUUGAAUAAGCCACGGCUAACUACGUGCCAGCAGCCGCGGUAAUACGUAUGGUGCAAGCGUUAUCCGGAUUUACUGGGUGUAAAGGGAGCGCAGGCGGCGCGUUAAGCCUGGUGUGAAAGCCCGCGGCCCAACCGCGGGACUGCAUUGGGAACUGGCGCGCUGGAGUGCCGGAGGGGUAGGCGGAAUUCCUAGUGUAGCGGUGAAAUGCGUAGAUAUUAGGAGGAACACCAGUGGCGAAGGCGGCCUACUGGACGGUGACUGACGCUGAGGCUCGAAAGCGUGGGGAGCAAACAGGAUUAGAUACCCGCGUA